GCCAGCAUGGCGAAGUGGUUUCAGUGUUGGACUAGGAUUCCAGAAGACCAGGGUUCGAAUCUCCAGUUAGCC